GACGAACGCUGGCGGCGUGCCUAAUACAUGCAAGUAGAACGCACAGUUUAUACCGUAGCUUGCUACACCAUAGACUGUGAGUUGCGAACGGGUGAGUAACGCGUAGGUAACCUGCCUGGUAGCGGGGGAUAACUAUUGGAAACGAUAGCUAAUACCGCAUAAUAUUGAUUAUUGCAUGAUAAUUGAUUGAAAGAUGCUAUUGCAUCACUACCAGAUGGACCUGCGUUGUAUUAGCUAGUAGGUGAGGUAACGGCUCACCUAGGCGACGAUACAUAGCCGACCUGAGAGGGUGAUCGGCCACACUGGGACUGAGACACGGCCCAGACUCCUACGGGAGGCAGCAGUAGGGAAUCUUCGGCAAUGGACGAAAGUCUGACCGAGCAACGCCGCGGGAGUGAAGAAGGUUGUCGGAUCGUAAAGCUCCGUUGUAAGAGAAGAACGGGUGUGAGAGUGGAAAGUUCACACUGUGACGGUAUCUUACCAGAAAGGGACGGCUAACUACGUG
rnacentral:rRNA from 1 species